rnacentral:rRNA from 1 species
AACGAACGCUGGCGGCGCGCCUAAUACAUGCAAGUCGAGCGAGAAGACGUAGCAAUACGUUUGUAAAGCGGCGAACGGGUGAGGAAUACAUGGGUAACCUACCCUCGAGUGGGGAAGUAACUAGCCGAAGGUUAGCUAAUACCGCGUACGCUCCUUGGACUUCGGUUCAGGGAGGAAAGCGAUACCGUGGGUAUCGCGCUCUUGGAUGGGCUCAUGUCCUAUCAGCUUGUUGGUGAGGUAACGGCUCACCAAGGCUUCGACGGUAGCUGGUCUGAGAGGACGAUCAGCCACACUGGCACUGCGACACGGGCCAGACUCCUAC